AGGACGAACGCUGGCGGCGCGCCUAACACAUGCAAGUCGAGCGAGAACCAGGGCUUGCCCUGGGGAAAGCGGCGAACGGGUGCGUAACACGUGAGCAACCUGCCCCAAAGACCGGGACAACCCGAGGAAACUCGGACUAAUACCGGAUGCCCUCACCGGGCCGCAUGGUCUGGUGAGGAAAUGGAUUCCGCUUUGGGAUGGGCUCGCGGUCUAUCAGCUUGUUGGUGGGGUAACGGCCUACCAAGGCGACGACGGAUAGCUGGUCUGAGAGGACGAUCAGCCACACUGGGACUGAGACACGGCCCAGACUCCUACGGGAGGCAGCAGUGGGGAAUCUUGCGCAAUGGGGGAAACCCUGACGCAGCGACGCCGCGUGCGGGAUGAAGGCCUUCGGUGUAACCGCUUUCAGCAGGGACGAAAUUGACGGUACCUGCAGAAGAAGGCCGGCCAACUACGCGCCAGCAGCCGC
rnacentral:rRNA from 1 species